CAGUCGCCGCGGGAAUACGGAGGGCGCAAGCGUUAAUCGGAAUUACUGGGCGUAAAGCGCACGCAGGCGGUUUGUUAAGUCAGAUGUGAAAUCCCCGAGCUUAACUUGGGAACUGCAUUUGAAACUGGCAAGCUAGAGUCUUGUAGAGGGGGGUAGAACCCCAGGUGUAGCGGUGAAAUGCGUAGAGAUCUGGAGGAAUACCGGUGGCGAGGGCGGCCCCCUGGACAAAGACUGACGCUCAGGUGCGAAAGCGUGGGGAGCAAACAGGAUUAGAUACCCCGGUAGUCCCUGUCUCUUAUAC
rnacentral:rRNA from 1 species